UUAAUCUAAAAAAACAAUAGCUGGUUUCCACUUUGAAUUAUUUAUUAUCAGAAAUCGUUACUGAAUUAAAAAAAACCCUUCAUGGAAUUCAGUAGGAAGUCCCUUAUGAAAAACAAGGAUUCUCUCUCGAAUUUAGUAUGGAUCCCAAAAGGAUUCUAGAAACAAAACCGAAAGGACUAGCCUUAUUUGAUAGAGUUUUUCAGUGGUCGUGAAUUCUUUUAGUGACCGUAGAUCCUGCCGUAGAUAUUUAGUUUUAAUUUUCAUAACGAAUUGAAUCAAUACAUACACCUAGGAUUAUUUUUAUUUAGGUUUUGCCAGUCUUGUCAAUCUCAUCGUCUCAAAUCAUCAUCGGAGAACUAGGCAUUCCGAAAAGAUGGAUCUUAUGAACCAAAAGGAUCAGGGCUGGAUUACGGUUCUGCUAUCACCUUCUACACCGCUGUAAGCCGAUCCCCAAGCCCAAGCACACGAGGUUACCAUGGAGCAUACCACGGCGGAUUAUGUGAUCAAUUAUGACCUACCCUAUCUUAAGUUAUUGCUAGAGGAAUUCGAGGACGCCAAACAAAUUUCCUAUUAAUCUUAGUAUCAAUGGCAUUAGAUUUCGACCCGAGGUUAUAGAGCUUAAUGAGAAAUUUAACCUCCGGGAAACAAUUGACGGAGGUGAUCGAGGUUCGUCUAGAGGAGCAAGUUGCUCAACUUUGAUAAUAAAAUGACCCCCAUUCGGUUCACGCAGGAUCCUCGCAUCAACAGAGCUAUGUGCUGAAAAGAAGCCAACUGGAAAGCUGUCCUUUCCACAGCAUGAAAGGAUUCAGAAUGUAAUCUAAAAUUGAUUCCACAAUAGGGUAACCGUACCCUUAGUGGAGGUAGCACCAAUAGUGGAGGUAGUGGGGUUUAAUGAGAUUUAUCAUAUUUAUAGGCUUUACGAUGGUUUCAGUUGAUGCGUCGUGCUUUAAAUAUCCUGUUAAAUGCAACUUACCUUAAUAUUUCGCUUCAAAAACUAUUGAAAACAAUGAUUUUCCUUAACAAAAUUGACUCCCUUGCACCUAUAGUGGUGCAACUGUACCAAUAGUGGCGAGUCUCAUAAGAAACCAAUGGAUAGCACCACUAUAGGAACCAAAAUUAAUUUUUACCGCCACUAAAGGAACAGUGUACCCAUACUGGUGCAAGCAAUAUUUGGUAAUUGUUGAUGUUAAAUGACAUCUAUCUCAUUUUUGUUAGCAAAUUUAUUAGUCUAUCUAUUGACUAAGAUAAUAAAGCAGUAAAUUUCCCACAAUUAUCAAUUUAAAAAAAAAUCUUUUGAGGAUCUACUAAUACCUCCACUAUUGGUGCCGUUACCCUAUGUGAUUUCGAAUGAGUAACGAAUGGAAUGACGAGUAUACCAAAUGUAAUUCUUACAGAAUUCCAUUCGUAAGCCAGUCGGUAUUCUAUUCUGAAUCUAUAUGUUUUUUCGGAAUUCUUCCGAGAUUUCAGUCGAAAUAUUUUCGGUACUCCAUUCAGAAUCCUUGCGGGAUUCCAAUCGCAAUUAUUCAGGGAUUAAAUUCAAAAUUCUUUAAGGGUUCCAUACAUAGUCUAUUUACAUAUCUUAUUAAUUUCCAUUCGCAUUCUACACAAUCAUUCCACGGAAUUCCAUUCAUAAUCCGUUCGGAGUUCUACACUUUGAGCACUUUUGUGGAAUUUUGAAAGUAUUUCUAAUGAUAUUCCGCAAUGAUUUCGAAUAGAAUACAAAGGGAAAUCCAUAAAGAAUUCCGAAUGGAAUCCCAAAAAUGAUUUCGAACGGAAUUCCAAAAGAAUUUCGGAUUUUAUCCCCACACAACUACCAACGGAAUUCCAAAUAAAAUACCGAACGACGAAAGGUUUCCUGAGGGGUUCGGAAAAAUAACUCGAGUGGAUUCCACAUGUGAUUCUAAAAUUAAUCCGAAUCGAACCCGGAAAGAAUUCCGAGUGGAAUCCAUUCGAGUUCUCAUUCAGAAUCUUUCCGUGAUUCCCUUCGAAGUUUCGUGGGAAUUCUAUUCGUACUCCUUUGGGGAGAAAAUUCAAAAUUCUUUUGGUAUUUGAUUCGAAAUAAUCGUGGCAUUUCAUUUGGAUCAUUUUGAAAUUUCAUAGUGUGCUAUAGGGAAGUAUGGAGGCAAGAAAGAAGAAUGGAAUCCCACAAAGAUUUCGAAUAAAAUCUCAAGAGGAUUCUGAUUGACUGAUGAAGCAGAUGAAAUAGCGAAAAGGUUUGGAAUGGAAUACCAAAAGGGUUACGAAUGAAAUUCCGAAAGGAUAGCGAAUGGUAUCACGUGAGGUUUGUGAAUUGAACCCCAAGAUUAUCCUUUCGAUUUGGUAUUGAGAUUUCAUUAGCUAUCCUUUCGCAACUUAUUAAAAAAAAUCGGAACCUUUCAGAAUUCUAUUUCUCAUCCUUUGAGAAGUUUAUUCUCAAUACUUUAAGGAUCAACUUCGAAUUUACUGGUGAUUCCUUUCAAAACCAUUCUUGGGAAUCUGUUUGGAUUCCCCUAAAGAUUCCAAUUGUGUAGGGAUUCUAUCCGGAAACCUUUCGAGAUUCCACAAACAGUGCUUCAGCUUUUCGGUCUGAUUUUGUUUCAGGAUUUUAUUUGGAAUAAUUUCGAUGUUCCUAUUGUAUUUUUGUGAUUCCAUGCGCUUCCUGGAACUCCUUUCGGUAUACUUUCAGGAUUUCUUUCGGGAAUCCCGGGAAGGAUUUCGAAACGAACUCUCAAUGAAUGGAUGGAUUGUUCAAAUGCUAUUUGGAAAUAAUUGCGAACCUGGACCCUGGAAAUUAUUCCUAUUGAAAUCCUUAGGGAAUUUCCAAUAAUUUAUAGAAUCUUAACAUAUCUAAAUUCCAAUGCCCCUGCUGCCCCUACUCGAUUCCAUGGAGUUGGUAUAUCAUUCUCACAAUCUUUACCCAAUUUACGGGCGCAUUCCCGAGUAGAA